rfam:Erinaceus europaeus unplaced genomic scaffold scaffold00775, whole genome shotgun sequence
AAGCUCCACGGGCUCCUCUGGUUCGAUAAAAUUUUUGACAAUUUUUUUCAGUAAUCUUUUUCGGUCGAGUCCGAGCGACUCUGUGCCCUCAGACAGGUUAUAACGUUCCUCCCGCUAGAUGGAUGAGAUCAGGCAUC